rnacentral:rRNA from 1 species
AUUGAACGCUGGCGGCAGGCCUAACACAUGCAGGUCGAACGGUAACAGGAAGAAGCUUGCUUCUUUGCUGACGAGUGGCGGACGGGUGAGUAAUGUCUGGGAAACUGCCUGAUGGAGGGGGAUAACUACUGGAAACGGUAGCUAAUACCGCAUAACGUCGCAAGACCAAAGAGGGGGACCUUCGGGCCUCUUGCCAUCGGAUGUGCCCAGAUGGGAUUAGCUAGUAGGUGGGGUAACGGCUCACCUAGGCGACGAUCCCUAGCUGGUCUGAGAGGAUGACCAGCCACACUGGAACUGAGACACGGUCCAGACUCCUACGGGAGGCAGCAGUGGGGAAUAUUGCACAAAGGGCGCAAGCCUGAUGCAGCCAUGCCGCGUGUAUGAAGAAGGCCUUCGGGUUGUAAAGUACUUUCAGCGGGGAGGAAGGGAGUAAAGUUAAUACCUUUGCUCAUUGACGUUACCCGCAGAAGAAGCACCGGCUAACUCCGUG